ensembl:lncRNA
AUGAGGAAAGGAUUGGCAGAUUAAGACAUGGUCUGGAGAUAAACAAGUUACAUCUUGUUUUGUCACGUUCCCAUAGCAAGCAGGAAAACAAGUCAGUCAAAAACCUCCCAAUAAAUGUUAAAAAGUAUUUCCCUUUGUGUACCUCAGUUCUGUAUUGGUUUCUCUCAUUUUUGCAUCCCUAGCAAAAGAAAGAAGAGUUGCUGAUUUCACUUUACAUACCAAUAUUUGCAGGUUUCACCUUCAUGACCUUAAAAGAGAGUUUCCACAUGUCUACCCAGUAUCAUUUUUAUUUAGAUAAAAGAAGAUGCUUUUAAAGCAGAGAAGCCUCCCAGAAACUACCUCACUCAUGUGAUCUGCAUUGACAUCAACAAUAGAACAAAUUACUAUCGUGUGCCUCCUGGGACGCCGAGAAAGACACAAUAUCACUCCUAUAGCAUUCAUGUGUAACUCUGAUCUAAUCAUAAGGAAACUACCAGACAGACCUAAAUUUAAGAAUAUUCUACAAAACAACUCUCUUUGCCUUUCAAAAAAUGUCAAUGUCAUGAAAGCCUGUUCCAGAUUGAGGGCACAAAAGAGACAAGACAAUUAAAUGCAGAGGAUGACCCUGGAUUGGACCCUGGAUCAAAGAAAAAAUGGUGCAAAGAUUGCAGCCUGCUGCCUGGCCAUUCUGCAGGCUGGGAAGCACAGCCUCUGGUAGAAACUGGAAGGGAGCACUUCAGAGAAGGAAGGAUAAGACGGGAACUGAAGCUGAACAGGAUACUGACUCCUUCUGCCUCCAUGCUAAAUACACUUGGCUGUUACCUACAGUUUUCCCAUGUUGGAAGGAGAGGAAGAUGUAAAAAAGAGAAGCUCUGUGGAAGAUGCAUGGCCCAUAUCCUUAAAGAGAAAUUCUGACCCUGAAGGGUAAGGCUGAGCUGCCUAGAGUCUUUUGGCUUCACUGACCAAAGGCCUCUUUAAAAACAGGUUGACCUGGCAUUUUUGGUCUUUUUUGUGGGCUAGGUCUAAAAUCUAACCAACGUUGUCAAUGGUUCAUAACUUGGCUCUCCAUUGCCUUCACAGCUCCAUGCACCUCUGAACCACACCACUGCCAAAGACCCCUUGCAAAAUGAAAACAGAACAAGCAGAUUGACUCAAAUUCCUCCACCCUCUAGUCAAUCUGAGUAGCUCUGCUUUUAUCUGGUUUAGUUAUUUAAACUUGGGAUUCAAUUUUGUUUGAUUAAAUAUUUCGGAGGUGUUUAUUCCUUUUCUGUUUAUAAUUUUGCCUGCUCUAGGUCUUGCUUCUCUAAAGAUAGAGAACAAGAAAAGAAUCAAAGGAAGAGAGUGACAAGGAUGAGGUGCAUCCACCUUCCUAGGCUUUUGUAUUCCUCUUGCAAAAGCACCAGCCCCUGAUCAGAGGACCCCUUGGACUUUGUCCAAGGAUCUUGGGUCCUUCCAGUCUCAUUGACUUUGUACUUACCUCUCUCGUCACAGUAGAAUCUAAACUCUAGAAAGCUGGGCCACUGUCCACUGUUAGCACAUGUAUGUAUGUAUGUAUGAGACAGAGUCUCUUUCACCCAGGCUAGAGCGCAGUAGUGUGAUCUCGGCUCACUGCAACCUAUGCCUCCCAAGUUCAAGUGAUUCUCCUGCCUCAGCCUCCUGAGUAGCUAGGGCUACAGGUGCGUGCCACCACGCCCGGCUAAUUUUCAUAUUUUUAGUAGGGAUGAAGUUUUGCCAUGCUGUCCAGUCUGGUCUCAAACUCCUGACCUCAGGAGAUUCCCUGCCUGGGCCUUCCAAAGUGCUGGGAUUACAGGCAUGAGCCACCAUACCUGGCCCUAUCUUUAGCACUUUAGUCCCCGUUCCCAGAAGAGCAUUGGGAUUUGGUAAGCACUCUUAUAUGUGUUUGCCUGAAUGGAAUAAAAAAAGUGUUGUAUACAUUAAUGAAUGAAGAUCCAUUGUGAAAGAGCAGAAUUGACAAAGGGGGGAUAAUUAGGGCAAAGAAUGGCUGCAUUUCAGUUUGAUGAAAAUGAAAUGACUGACGCAGGAGGGGGUGGGCUUUCCACACUAGGAUCCUAUCAUAAUUUUCAAGCGCAGUUUCAAGAUCAUGUCAGCUUAAAAAAGUGGACAUUUAUCUUUCAACAGAUCACCCAUUAGAUCCAAGUUAAAUGGGACUAUUUAUUUCCCUGUAUGGCAUGGCUCCAGAGGUGGAGUUGAAGGGGCAGAGUUCUUAUCCCCUCGUGGUAAUUUUCCAGCUAUGAGAUUUUGGGAAAAUCACUUAAGCCUAUCUGUGUAACAAGGUUCAUAACACCUUGGCCUCCUAUUGUGGAAUCAGAAAGUUGUCUUCUUUUUGAGUAGAGAAAAUGAAAUCUCCAUUUCUGUCUUCUCCUGUCUCCACUCUCAUAUCUUUUUGUGACUCAGCCUUGAUGAAAGGAAUCAUAAGUUAGGCAAGGGAUUUUGCAAAGGGGAAGCAAUCCUGAAGACCUACAAAUUCUUUUUUAUUCAGGUGCAGUGAUGUGCAGCAUCUUUCUCUAUAA